GCAGGGGAGAAUGCUAAUCCCCUUUCCUUCCUGAAAUUUCCAAUCAUCCUCCACAUAUAUAAGACAACCUCUGAAGAGAAGAAGAGCAUUAUAUACAAUUACUCUCCAUGGGGUCAGGAAUUCUGGAAAACCCAUAUUCUCAAUCACACAGAAGCUGAAAUUCAGGAGUAAGAAGAGGAGGCCAAUUUUACCAGGGAGGAUGUGAAUAUUCACCCUGGGGCAGAAGAGGUGUGAUCUUGAGAAGGCACCCUUCUAUAAGGUGUCAAGGGCAAUGAGACUACUAUCCACAGGAAGCAUUUGAGCAGGAAAAAAGGCCUAGAAGAAAGCCUAGAAGAAACCUUAGUCGUUCUCCAGACAUGGAGAAAUUUAAGCUCGCACAAGGAAAAUGUCCUCCA